GAUGAACGCUAGCUACAGGCUUAACACAUGCCAGUCGCGGGGCAGCAUGGGGGUUGCUUGCAAUCCCCGAUGGCGACCGGCGCACGGGUGAGUAACGCGUAUCCAACCUGCCCUUCACCACGGGAUAACCCGGCGAAAGUCGGACUAAUACCGUAUGUUGUCCAUUGACGGCAUCCGAUUUGGACGAAAGGUUUGGCGGUGAAGGAUGGGGAUGCGUCCGAUUAGCUGGACGGCGGGGUGACGGCCCACCGUGGCGACGAUCGGUAGGGGUUCUGAGAGGAAGGUCCCCCACACUGGAACUGAGACACGGUCCAGACUCCUACGGGAGGCAGCAGUGAGGAAUAUUGGUCAAUGGGCGUAAGCCUGAACCAGCCAAGUAGCGUGCAGGAUGACGGCCCUAUGGGUGGUAAACUGCUUUUAUGCGGGGAUAAAGUGGCCCACGUGUGGGUUUUUGCAGGUACCGCAUGAAUAAGGACCGGCUAAUUCCGUG
rnacentral:rRNA from 1 species